UACCCCUUCCAUUUGGGGUAAUCUUACUGGGAUGUGCUGUCGCAGUAAUGCAGUGGUUCAAAGCUCCUUGGACAAUGUGAAGAAAUCUGAAAAUCCAAUUCGGACAAUUUG
rnacentral:ncRNA from 1 species